GCUGGUUUGUCUGAGUGGUUAAGGGGGGAAGACUUAAGAUUUUCUGCAUAACAGUGCGCGUGGGUUCGAAUCCCACAACCAGCA
rnacentral:tRNA from 1 species